rnacentral:piRNA from 1 species
UGGUGGAAAUCUAGCUACAUCAAUGUCACA